UGUAACUUACCAAAUAAAUCCCCAUUGGACCUGGACCAGGACAAAACCGCCUGCAUCAAGAGGGCCUCACAUGGCCAAAUCCCGACGCUGCCAUCCCUCUCCAAAGCCUCACUUUGUCCCCACCAGGACCACCACCCCAGCUACAAACAGGGUUCCUGCUUGGGAAUAGCUGUCUCAGAGACCAUCCUGCCGCGCCCGCAGGAGCGCACAGCUCUUCUGAUGGCCAUCAGAUGGUGCCAUUGAGUCUUCUUCGGAGGCAAAGCCCCGACGACAGCGAGCUUGGAGCAGGGAGCGCUCAUGUUCCUUGCUGCAGCACACAGGAAGGGAACGGAGCUGGAUUGCCCACCUCCAGAUAAAACCAGAUAAAGAGAUUCCUAGCGUAGGAGCUGGCAAGGAAAGGCGCGUUUGUGCUUUCUGUUGUUUCCAAAGAUGUGAGCAAGCUUCUGUGUCACCACCUGUGGGUUUUGCACCGGUCUUGCAAGGUUGGCUAUAUUCCUGCAGUGAUGUCAGCGUAGGAGAAGGCGACAGCAGCGUAGGAGCAUUUCAGCCUCAGUUUCCUCAAAACAAGUGGAUAAAGCCUGCCAUCCAACUGAGGUCCUCAUUGCAAAGAGGCAUGAAUAAUAACCGGCCACAUUUCAUUCCUGUUCUUCUUUGGAUUUUAAUUGCGUGAGAUGAGAGGGGAGAAAAAUGGUAGCAAGCAGAGGAAGCCCGAGAAGGAGAGAGAGGAGGAAUCAUCACUAUUGCAUUUCGUCAGCGAUAAGAAUGGCUGCUGAGCUGGAGUGAGUGGUUUCCAAGUGCAGCGGGAGCCAGCUUCAAUUUCACAGCAUAAUCUUUCC
ensembl:lncRNA